AACGAACGCUGGCGGCAUGCCUAUCACAUGCAAGUCGAACGAGACCUUCGGGUCUAGUGGCGCACGGGUGCGUAACGCGUGGGAACCUGCCCUUAGGUUCGGAAUAACUCCCCGAAAGGGGUGCUAAUACCGGAUAAUGUCUUCGGACCAAAGAUUUAUCGCCUUUGGAUGGGCCCGCGUUGGAUUAGCUAGUUGGUAGGGUAAAAGCCUACCAAGGCGACGAUCCAUAGCUGGUCUGAGAGGAUGAUCAGCCACACUGGGACUGAGACACGGCCCAGACUCCUACGGGAGGCAGCAGUGGGGAAUAUUGGACAAUGGGCGAAAGCCUGAUCCAGCAAUGCCGCGUGAGUGAUGAAGGCCUUAGGGUUGUAAAGCUCUUUUACCCGGGAUGAUAAUGACAGUACCGGGAGAAUAAGCUCCGGCUAACUCGGUG
rnacentral:rRNA from 1 species